GACGUAGGGCGCGAGCGUUGUCCGGAUUUAUUGGGCGUAAAGAGCUCGUAGGCGGCUUGUCGCGUCGUCCGUGAAAACCUGCGGCUCAACUGCAGGCUGGCGGUCGAUACGGGCAGGCUGGAGUUCGGUAGGGGAGACUGGAAUUCCUGGUGUAGCGGUGAAAUGCGCAGAUAUCAGGAGGAACACCGGUGGCGAAGGCGGGUCUCUGGGCCGAUACUGACGCUGAGGAGCGAAAGGCGUGGGGAGCGAACAGG
rnacentral:rRNA from 1 species